rnacentral:rRNA from 1 species
CCCUUAGAUGUUCUGGGCCGCACGCGCGCUACACUGAUGCAUUCAACGAGUCUACAACCUGGUCUGAUAGGGCUGGGUAAUCUUUUGAAUGUGCAUCGUGAUUGGGAUAGAUGAUUGCAAUUCUUCAUCUUCAACGAGGAAUGCCUAGUAAACGCAAGUCAUCAGCUUGCGUCGAUUACGUCCCUGCCCUUUGUACACACCGCCCGUCGCUCCUACCGAUUGGGUGUGCUGGUGAAAUGUUCGGAUCGGCCGUUUGUCGCGGUUUCCGCGGCUCGUGGCUGAGAAGUUCAUUAAACCCUCCCACCUAGAGGAAGGAGAAGUCGUAACA